AAAUGAUGACACUAAAACAAUAUAGCUGGAAUUACCGGCAGAACUCUUAUGUUGAGAAUUUGUUUUUCUGAAU